GAUGAACGCUAGCUACAGGCUUAACACAUGCAAGUCGAGGGACCGGCGCACGGGUGAGUAACACGUAUCCAACCUGCCCUUUACUCGGGGAUAGCCUUUCGCAAGAAAGAUUAAUACCCGAUAUAAAGGAUGGGGAUGCGUUCCAUUAGGUGGUUGGUGAGGUAACGGCCCACCAAGCCUUCGAUGGAUAGGGGUUCUGAGAGGAAGGCCCCCCACAUUGGAACUGAGACACGGUCCACACUGGUACGUGAGGGAGCAGUGAGUAAUAUUAGUCAAUGGUCGGUAGCCUGAACCAGCCAAGUGUAGUGAAGGAUGAAGGCUUAUGGGUCGUAAACUUCUGUUAUAUAAGAAUAUGUAUUAUAUGAAUAAGGAUCGGCUAACUCCGUGCCAGCCGCCGCGGUAAUAC
rnacentral:rRNA from 1 species